UGGCCGCUCACCAGUGUUUGUGGACCGUGAGUGUGGAAGCAUGCGUCGCCGGCACAACUUGUGCAACGAACAGCAGAGUCACAGAAUCGAGCCAGUCCUGCAGAGCACAAAGGUCGGAGCUCAUUUGUCUCCGCUGUGUGUGUACCAAGAUUUGAAAGUGAUCCAGUCUUCAAACUUAUUUUAUAUCCAGACGGUACGUUUCUAGACCUGCAUCCCGUAUCUAUUAUGUCCCCCCUACUAUCCGUAGAAGCCUAUAACAGCAACUGUGAAACAUACUGCGCAAAACGUGAGUGAAACGGGAAGCAACAUUAACGUGAAAAGUGCCUUCAGCCACGCACUUUCAUGUGGUGUGUACAGUAUAAAUGCAGGUGUCGAAGCAAUAGCUGCAAACGUGUUGUAAACUUCUGCAUCUUAUGAAGAGGUCUGGGAAUAUGAAAAUGCAUAAACGAAAAGCUUUCAGUCGAAUUAUGAGAAUUCAAGAUCUGAUGAUCAAGUAAUGGUUUAGAAACCGAAAAGAAUUUUUUUUUCCAUAAAUGACGCACACACGCCAGGCAGCGACUGCAAGUGAAACAUUCGGUGCGAUAGUUGUCGGGGCAACCGCAGAGGGCCGUGGCAUUUCCUGUCAGCGGAAACUCGCGGUUCCUUGAAUUGGGCACCACAGCAAGUAACUCACCUGGCACGCAGUGUGACGCUGACCUGUUCGUUGCACGUAACCUAGGAUUCUCAGGGAACACCUAUAGCUGCCAAGAAUGUUCCUUGUUUCCUGGGCAAUGAAGUAGUCUUCUAAUGCUCGUCACAAUGGCUUUUCGAAAAUGAACCUAUUUGUCAGGCCACAAGUGAUCUAGCUGCAGCAUUACGUGAUGGCAAACAGCUGUGAGAAGCUGUGUAUGUGGAUGUGCUGUGGGCCUUACCACAUAGUGAAGUCCUGCUGUGAAAUACUCGCCUCUUGGAUCUGUUGUACCAGGCUUGAUAUGGGUGAUUCUGACAGUGAAGAAGAGAUACCACUAACUCGAAACCAAAGGCGUGAAACUGUGAGAAAAAUGAAAGGUGUGGCAGCUGGUGAUCGAUCAAUUCUGAUGUCUCUAAGACGCAAUGAUGUGACAUCUCGACUAGUUCGUCGCAAAACUACAGUGAUUGAUAGAAGAAGCAGCAACAGACGUGUCCCUGAUGAUGAAGAAAAACCUUAAUUUUUAACAGGCAGACAGCGUUUUCCUUUAUUGAAUCUCUUCUGUACUGUUGUAUGAAUUCAGAGUUAGUAUUAUGACUUUGUGCACCUAAAAUAAAAUAAACUAAACUAGUUUUUGGGGGGGUUCAGUUACUACACAGUUCUUGUAGAGUCUUAUGAACAUACAUGAAUGUGAAGCCUGAAUUUUGUACAUAAGUGCUGAAUCCAAUUAAAAACAAAGAAAAUUUUUGUAAGAUUAGAUUAGUAGGAUGUUCGUACACUUUAAAUAGAAUUUCCUUUAAAAUAUUUGAAAAAAUUACCAUUGUGUCUUCUAAAUGUUGGUGAGUUAACUCAGUGUACAAUCCAGUUCUCAAGUCAAAGUAUUAAGUCAUUUACAUACAUAGCAAACAACAGUGGUUAAGUAUCAUGUAAUAGUUGUGAUAGUGCAUAGUAAAAAUGCACUGGUUAGAAAAAUAUCAAAGAGGAAUUAAUGAGUACAAUAAACUGAAUAUCUGACAGGCUUAAUUAUUUGAAAACAAAAGGAAUAAAUCAGUGAAUAUGAAGAACACUGUGAUGGAACUGUUAUUUGGUACAUCCCAAAUAAUACACUACACAGUAAAACAUUGUGUUGAAAUGUUAACAGAACAGAUUAGCUAAACUGGUUAUCAUUAGAAAGUGUCACUAGCAUGAAAUUUAACAAGUGAGUGUACUGUAUUUAAAAAGACAAAGUACUAGUGGAAUGAUUAUGCUGACAAACUCUCCAAGGCAAAAUCAAAAUAGUAUUCAGUAAAAAGCUUUUCCUUUUUACAGCAUAAAGUUAUGUGUGUAAUUGAUAGUGGAAAUAAAAUGUGUGAAAUGUUUGGUAAUGUAUUGGUGCAUUCUUCUGAGGCAUUAAAUUAGUCAAAGAAAUAUAUUAAAAUAUUCUUAACUUGCAUCAGAAACUGCUCAUGUGUGCUGUAUUUAUUACUGACAGUGAUUUAUCACCUCAUUCAAAUAAAGUGUUAUACUUUUACGUGGUAAUGUAGGACUUGUAUUCUGAUAGAAAGAAAGUCAGCUGCUUACCUUGUUCAGAUAGUCAGAAAUUGUAUGUACAGAAAUUGUAUUUGUGUUAUAUUAGUGAAAGUUAGACUAUUAAUUAAAAGUGAAAGUGUGUCACAAAAUGGACCAUUAUAUGGUACAUUGAUUUAUUCUGAAAGCUUGGAUUUGCAAAUAGCAAUAUGCUAUUGCAGUACCUGUGUUAACAUGACUUACAAUGUAAUGCACAUUCAAAGGAACAGACACUGCAGCAACUACAGCUGUUAUGAAAACUAUGAUCAGCUGUAUGAUGAAAUGUGGUUGUCUAUGUGGCUAUCAGCGCAUGAUUCACAGCCAAACCCAAACUGCUGUGCGCCUACAACCUAUACUCAUACAUCCAUUAUGUGUAUUCUUGUACUCCAUUUGAACAGGCCUUCAAAGGUCCAAUGGUACUGACCAGCCGCCAUGUCAUCCUCAGCCCACAGGCGUCACUGGAUGCGGAUAUGGGGGGGGGGGGGGGGGGGGUCGGCAUGCAGUCAGUCAGUACACUGCUCUCCCGGUUGUAUGUCAGUUUCAGACCAGGCUGCUACUUCUCAGUCAAGUAGCUCCUCAGUUUACCUCAAAAGGGUAGAGUGCACCCCACUUGCCAAAAGCACGGCAGACCAGAUGGUGACUUAUCCAAGCAAGCCCAAGUAGCUCAGCCCAACAGCACUUAAAUUUGGUGAUCUGACGGGAACUGGUGUUACCCUUGCGGCAAGGCCAUUGGCGCAUUCUCAUACAGGCACGAUAAUUUUACUUAAGUCACUUGCCUGAUGUUGGCAGAUAAAUACAAUAUUGCAGUGCCCGUGUUAAUCCAAAUUACAAUGUAAAGUUCCUUUGUACAUUCAGGCACUUUACUUCGUAAUUCAGAUUAACACAGGCACUCCAAUAUCAUAUUUAUCUGCUAACAGUGGGCAUGCAACAUUAAAGUAAAUUUGUCUUUCCUGGAUGGAAAUAUACAUAAUGGACGUAAGAGUACAGGUUGUAGACGUAAGGUUGAUGACAGGGAAGUGUAGGUCUGGCUGUCAGUUGUGCUUGGAUAGCCAAGUAGUAAGGUGACAGCCUGUGAAAAGCACAAAUUUUCAUUGUCAUCAUUCCAUUAUACUGCUGAUGGUAGUCCCUAUCCCUAUAUGAAACUGUGAAUACAUUUCAUUUAGAUAGUAAAGUAUGCUUUUAAAUUUAUUUCUUCUGUUCAUACCCAUUUGGUGCCUUAUAAAUGUUGUAAUACUUGUGAAAGCAUUUCACACCUGAGAGUACUACCUGACUAUGAAUAUCACGAACAGAUAAGGCUGUGAAGUAUCUUAAAAAAAAUUAAAAAAAAUAAUAAAUAAUACUGUUGGGUGGUAAUAUAAACUUGAUUACAAGCCCAGAAAACUGAAUAUUAGAUUGCUCCAAGAAAGAUUGAGAAGUGUCAGCAUAAAAGCUGCACUUAAUUUUUGUUUUAUACUCACAUGCAUAACAACCAAUGAAAACCUAAUUCCUGUUGGUAUCCCAAAACCGCGGACAUUUAAAUACAUUGACAUGCAAGCUUGAAGAAUCAGACUUGAAGACUGUUACCAAUGAGUUGAAAAUAAAGUGAGAGACUGAUCACUUGAA